UGGGGAAUAUUUGACAAUGGGCGCAAGCCUGAUCCAGCCAUUCCGCGUGCAGGACGAAAGCCUUCGGGUUGUAAACUGCUUUUGUACGGAACGAAAAGCCCUUCUCUAAUACAGAGGGGUCAUGACGGUACCGUAAGAAUAAGCACCGGCUAACUACGUGCCAGCAGCCGCGGUAAUACGUAGGGUGCAAGCGUUAAUCGGAAUUACUGGGCGUAAAGCGUGCGCAGGCGGUCUUGCAAGACAGGUGUGAAAUCCCCGGGCUCAACCUGGGAACUGCAUUUGUGACUGCAAGGCUAGGGUACGGUAGGGGGGGAUGAAAUUCCGCGUGUAGCAGUGAAAUGCGUAGAUAUGCGGAGGUACACCGAUGGCGAGGGCAAUCCCCUGAACCUGUACUGACGCUCAUGCACGAAAGCUUGGGGAGCAAAC
rnacentral:rRNA from 1 species